CCUACGGGUGGCUGCAGUGGGGAAUAUUGGACAAUGGGCGAAAGCCUGAUCCAGCCAUGCCGCGUGUGUGAAGAAGGCCUUCGGGUUGUAAAGCACUUUCAGUGGGGAAGAAAGCCUUGGGGCUAAUACCCUCGAGGAAGGACAUCACCCACAGAAGAAGCACCGGCUAACUCCGUGCCAGCAGCCGCGGUAAUACAGAGGGUGCGAGCGUUAAUCGGAAUUACUGGGCGUAAAGCGCGCGUAGGCGGUCUGAUAAGCCGGUUGUGAAAGCCCCGGGCUCAACCUGGGAACGGCAUCCGGAACUGUCAGGCUAGAGUGCAGGAGAGGAAGGUAGAAUUCCCGGUGUAGCGGUGAAAUGCGUAGAGAUCGGGAGGAAUACCAGUGGCGAAGGCGGCCUUCUGGACUGACACUGACGCUGAGGUGCGAAAGCGUGGGUAGCAAACAGGAUUAGAUACCCUGGUAGUC
rnacentral:rRNA from 1 species